AGUGGCGGACGGGUGAGUAACGUGUGAGAAUCUGCCUUGGGGUCGGGGACAACCACUGGAAACGGUGGCUAAUACCGGAUAAGCCGAUUGGUGAAAGAUUUAUUGCCCGAAGAGGAGCUCGCGUCUGAUUAGCUAGUUGGUGAGGUAAGAGCUCACCAAGGCAGCGAUCAGUAGCUGGUCUGAGAGGACGAUCAGCCACACUGGGACUGAGACACGGCCCAGACUCCUACGGGAGGCAGCAGUGGGGAAUUUUCCGCAAUGGGCGAAAGCCUGACGGAGCAAGACCGCGUGAGGGAGGAAGGCUCUUGGGUUGUAAACCUCUUUUCUCAGGGAAGAAGCUCUGACGGUACCUGAGGAAUCAGCCUCGGCUAACUCCGUGCCAGCAGCCGCGGUAAUACGGAGGAGGCAAGCGUUAUCCGGAAUUAUUGGGCGUAAAGCGUCCGCAGGUGGCGAUUCAAGUCUGCUGUCAAAGCACGGGGCUUAACUCCGUAAAGGCAGUGGAAACUGAAUAGCUAGAGUGCCGUAGGGGUAGAGGGAAUUCCCGGUGUAGCGGUGAAAUGCGUAGAGAUCGGGAAGAACAUCGGUGGCGAAAGCGCUCUACUGGACGGCAACUGACACUCAGGGACGAAAGCUAGGGGAGCGAAUGGGAUUAGAUACCCC
rnacentral:rRNA from 1 species